ACGCACGCUGGCGGCAUGCCUCACCCCUGCAAGUCGCACGCGACCUUCGGGUCUAGUGGCGCACGGGUGCGUAACGCGUGGGAACCUGCCCUUAGGUUCGGAAUAACUCCCCGAAAGGGGUGCUAAUACCGGAUAAUGUCUUCGGACCAAAGAUUUAUCGCCUUUGGAUGGGCCCGCGUUGGAUUAGCUAGUUGGUAGGGUAAAAGCCUACCAAGGCGACGAUCCAUAGCUGGUCUGAGAGGAUGAUCAGCCACACUGGGACUGAGACACGGCCCAGACUCCUACGGGAGGCAGCAGUGGGGAAUAUUGGACAAUGGGCGAAAGCCUGAUCCAGCAAUGCCGCGUGAGUGAUGAAGGCCUUAGGGUUGUAAAGCUCUUUUACCCGGGAUGAUAAUGACAGUACCGGGAGAAUAAGCUCCGGCUAACUCCGUG
rnacentral:rRNA from 1 species